GGUGUUCUAAGUUGACAGUUCCCACUUGAUUUAUCAGUUUUUAUUUUAUUUCAACCACUCCCCACUAGUUAUAACCUAAUCCCCCUAAUUUUCACUUAGCUUCUAGCCUUCUACCGCCUCCUCUUUCUUCAUUUUCUCUAUAACUCCUCCUCUUCAAUGAAAUUUUUCUUCUCUUCAUCUUUAGAUCCCUCUAUGCUUUUUUUCAUCUCCAACAAAAUGUAGAGGUUUCUAUUUCAAUAAUUUCUUUUCCGACCCCCCUUUUCAUUCAAGUGCGAAAUCAAUUCCGAUCCAUGAUUCUCCCACAAGCCUAGAUUGGAACCCUCGAAUUACUUUCUCCAUGGCAAGCAUUCCCCGUGAAUCUAAGCGCUACAAGCACCGCCACCACUACUGCCAUAGAAGCUCCAUCACCAUCACCUUCACCUUCGUUGCAUAGCCACCACCUCGGGUUGUUAGAUUGCAUCGUCCCACUUCAACAAGAGCAUUUAAAAUUCGAUUUUCGGGUGGGAUUUACAUAAUAAGGUUUUGAAGCAAAGGAGCUUGAUACAACAUAGAUUGAUUUGGUGAUUUUGGUCGUAUCAGCUGGGAUAAUUCUAGAGAUUGGAGUUGGUUAUUAGCAUUCUAAUAUGAACUGUAAUUUUGAUUAUAUUAGAUUGAUUUUGUACCUGAUUUCAUUUUCUAUGUAUAUAUUAUUACUGAGUUGAAUUGAAAUCAUAAUUCAUUAGUCCAU